UACGUAGGGGGCAAGCGUUGUCCGGAAUCAUUGGGCGUAAAGAGCGUGUAGGCGGCUUGGUAAGUCCGCUGUGAAAGUCCAGGGCUCAACCCUGGAAUGCCGGUGGAAACUGUCAAGCUUGAGUCCGGAAGAGGCGAGUGGAAUUCCGAGUGUAGAGGUGAAAUUCGUAGAUAUCGGAAGGAACACCAGUGGCGAAAGCGGCUUCCUGGUCCAGCACCGACGUUCAGGCACGAAAGCGUGGGGAGCAAACAGG
rnacentral:rRNA from 1 species